rnacentral:hammerhead_ribozyme from 1 species
AUCCAGCUGACUAGUCCCAAAUAGAACGAAACGCAAGUCCUGGAU